rnacentral:rRNA from 1 species
GACGAACGCUGGCGGCGUGCCUAACACAUGCAAGUCGAAUGGAGAUAAAGAUUUCGGUUUUUAUCUUAGUGGCGCACGGGUGAGUAACACGUGAAUAACCUGACCCAAAGAGGGGGAUAACACCUGGAAACAGGUGCUAAUACCGCAUAAGACCACAAUGUCGCAUGACGAAGGGGUCAAAGAAAAUCGCUUUGGGAGGGGUUCGCGUCCCAUUAGGUAGUAGGCGGGGUAACGGCCCACCUAGCCGACGAUGGGGUAGCCGAGCUGAGAGGCUGAUCGGCCACACUGGAACUGAGACACGGUCCAGACUCCUACGGGAGGCAGCAGUGGGGAAUAUUGGGCAAUGGGCGCAAGCCUGACCCAGCAACGCCGCGUGAGGGAAGAAGGUUUUUCGGGAUUGUAAACCUCUGUCGCAGAAGACGAA